UGCAGCAAAGUGAUUUUGAAAAACCAGAACGAUGACUCUUGUCCCUGCUUAAAUACCUACCAUGGCUUCCCAUUGCCCACAGGAUAAAGCUUAAAUUCUUCAAAAUGCUGUGGAAGCCCCUGGAGAUCUCCACGCCCCUGCAUUCCUCUCCAGCUUCAUUUCUUACCCCACUACCCUCACUCAUCACUCUCGGACUGAACUGUCUACUUGUGGAAAAUGCCAAGCAUCUUGCAGGGAUGAGGGGACCGGGGCAGAAGUGACCUUCCCAGAGCUACAUGGCCAGGGAGUGCUGGAGCCGGGCUCUGAGGCCAGAGCCACCACACCACCUAGCCUCGGUGGAAAUGGGAUGCUGAUUCCAGUAAGAUAAUGUUUAAGACUGCAACACUGUGAUGUGGAAUCAUCACAAAUAUUGAGAGGAAAUGUUUAUCUGCCGCUAGUUGGGCCUCUCUUCCUUGAAGAUGGUGUACUAUUAGAGCAUC